rnacentral:rRNA from 1 species
GGCUGUCGUCAGCUCGUGCCGUGAGGUGUGGUUAAGUCCGCACGAGCGCAACCCUCAUCGCUAGUUACAUGUGUCUAGCGAGACUGCCAGGUUAACCCUGGAGGAAGGUGGGGAUGACGUCAAGUCAGCAUGGCCUUUAUGCCCAGGGCUACACACACGCUACAAUGGUCAGCACAAUGGGUCGCUAAGCCGCAAGGUGGAGCCAAUCCUCAAAGUUGGCCUCAGUUCAGAUUGUAGGCUGCAACUCGCCUGCAUGAAGAUGGAGUUGCUAGUAAACGCAGGUCAGCUAUACUGCGUUGAAUACGUUCCCGGGCUU